AUGUGGUGCAAGCGGAAAUGCGCUCGCCUGGCAUGCGCAGGGUGCUGGGUUCGAUCCUCAGCACCACAUA
rnacentral:tRNA from 1 species